UAAACAUUGUGAAUAACUACGAGUAACAGUAACAUUAUCAUAUCGCUCGAAGGUCUAAUAAAUCUAAGAAAAUCUCACAUACACUGCCAUCAUUGUAAAGCUAAUAACGAUUGAAAUGUACAUAAUAAGUAUUUAAAUUUGCCCUACAGAUAACACUACUGAGGUGGUCAUGAAGCAAUGAAAUCACCAAAAAUCAUGCCAUUCCAAGAAUUCGAAGAUGCUGCUUCUUGAUGCUGUGUGUAUGUAUUGAACUCGAAGGCGUUUAUUUUUGACCAACUAAAACUAGGCAAAUGUAGAUGAUAUAUCUCUCAACUAAUAGGCCUAAUGUAUGCCCAAUUAAGGGCCUAACAACUCACUUGUGUUGAGUGAAGAAUUAUGAUUUAGCUAAUUUUAAAAGUGUUCUGUUCUUUGCGCUGUUCAUUUUUGCUUUGCUUUGUUAAUUAUUGUUGCCUAUGAGUCUUUGGGCCCUUCUUCAAGAGAAGGUGUCACAGAGUGCUAACAAAUAAGGACAAGCAGAACCAUAACUUUUCUUUAACCUUGGUUAUUUUGUUUCAUUUCACAAAGCAGUCUUAUUUUUGUUUCAGUUGACCAUUGUCAAUUAUGAGUGCACAGUGCUGUUCCUUUAAGAUCAGUCAAGGUCAACAUAGCAUGCAGGCAAGCACACAGGAGCUUGAGAAAAUAAAUACAAGACAAUCAGGCACAUGGUGAUAAAAAUGUUUUAAUUAUCCCCUCACAAUAAAAAAACAAGGUCUUUAAAUGUUCUUUCACCCAGUCAUUAGUGCAUGAACUGUAUUUGUGCCAGUCUAGCUUCCAUUCACUCAGUGGUGCAGAAAGUGUGUCCUACAUCAUAAUGCAGUUGUGAUUGCCGAAAACCUCUGUUAAGGAAGAUUAAAGUUGGUAUACAUACAGAUAUAUUUAAACAGUGACAGUUUGGUGAAAGACUCAGGUAAUAUGAAUUAGUAGUUUUUGUAUUUCAAUCAACUGAACAUGCCCCAGUUAAUAGGAUUUCAGGGGGGUGUCCCUUCAUAAUUAAAUGUGUACUCCAUAUACUAUGAAACAACCGCAGUGUAUGAACGACUGAGGUAUUAUGACAUGGAUCUUAGAACAAAGUGUGCAGGUCUCAACACAACUGUCUAUCUAGGUUAAAUGUUGCCAUGUCUUGCAGUGUUUUAAGAUGCAUAAAUAGGCCAUGUGAGGAGGAUAAUCUGAGUAUUAAGAUUUUAAAAAUAAUCUUUUGCAAACUGUACAUGAGUAUGAAAGUUUAAACUUUCUGAUUAAACAUUUAAAAAAUAAGUGACAAUAUACUGUAAUAUUGUAAUAUUGUACUGUAUACUGUAGCUUAUUCUUCUGCCUAGCUGGCUUUGCAGAGGUUAGGUCAGAAUAGUGUUCACUGUGUGAACUGUGUUCUUGGCUAGAGAUAGCUGUACAAAAUAAGUAUUGUACCUUACUGAACCUGUGUUCAGCAGUUGUCUAUGACCAUGAAAUGCACUUUUUGUACGUCGCUUUGGAUAAAAGCGUCUGCCAAGUAAAUGUAAUGUAAUGUAAUGUAAUGUAACAAUAAUAGUGCCACUCUGAGACCAACUGACAUACUCCAAUAACCCCCUUUAUCAAACAAAAGUAGGCUGGCUUUCCCCUUAGUUGUAUGGCAGCAUUAAUACUAUUAUGGCAUUUUACAAUAGUUUGACAAUUUGAAAAACUAUCCAGUCACAUUAAAAUAGUAUUGUAUUGUACAUCAACUGAAGAAUUUCCUCUGCACUGCUCGACAUAACAUCUAAUUUAAUGCACGUUAUUAAGUAAUCACAUGCAAAGUGUCAAACUGUGGUCCACAUGGUCUUAGGGCGAGACAAGUCAUUAAUAAGGCCAUUCUGUUGGGUGCCUGUUCCUGAUGAAUCCUUAGCAAUGUUAUUGUUUGAAAUAAUUUUACUGCAGUCAGCAUUCUCAGUCUCACAGCUAGUAGCAUAUUGACUCCCCAGCUUAGAUAGGGGUUGUUGGGAGACAGUCAAGGUGCCAGAUGACUUGCUUCAAUUGGCCCUCGCUGUCUGAAGAAAGCAAUCAACUCUUGCAAAGCACGGCUGACCCUGUGUUUCUGUCUGAAACCACACAGGCCCAACUUCCGCCACUUAACUUCUGCCAUUCACAAUCCUCUCUGCAUUCCAAGUAAAUGAGGGCUAUGGGAAGUAUACUGUUCAAUUAUAUAUGUCAUGAAAUGUUGGGUUGCAGUAUAUGACCAUAAAAGCAAGAAAAAAACAAAAAAAAUUCCAGCUACACAGAGGAAGAAAAUAGUUAUUUUAUGGUUUAAAACAUCUUUGUAAAGAUAAAAGAUUUUUUUUUGCUAUUGCUAUAUUUUACUUAAUGCAGUUUGAUAGUUUAGUGAAGUAGCAUAAGAGGUAAUUUGCUGUAUGACAGUUAUAGAAAUGUAGGAAUAAUUCACCAAACUUAAUUGCAUGAUUUAGCACAGGAUUAUAGCUCUGGAUAUACUCUGUAUCUAUAGCAUAUUGGUUAUACUGGAAAAAAUAUAAUACCAAAAUGUCUAUAACAUCUCCAGUACCAAGCGCAGGGCUGUGUUGAAUGCUGCGUCAAACCACACUGAGCCAAAAGUUUUCCUGUUCUGAGUAGGCGGGCAUGUAUGUGUGUAUCUUACAAGUUUCCAUUUCCGAUUUCUGUCGAAGGUUCAGCCAAAAACCGAGGAUGCAGAAGAUCAAGUUGUAGCAUUGUAGCAAAGGGGCUGUAUGAAUAUCAAAUAUGCAUGUAUGGCACACACAAGCAAAGAAAAAAACACUCGCCACAGGCAGUAUGUUAGUUCCGUCCCUGCAGCAAGAGCUAAGUACCUUGCUAGAAGAAAGCUGCCAGAGAAGAAAACAGCAAGGAAAGAUUACAUAUUUAAAAUUCAAGUGAGCUGUCAAAGAGAGAGAAGAAGAAACAGAGAGACAAAUGGAGGGCUGCAUCCAGAAGUUACAGGGAUAGGAAAAAGAUGGAAAAUGCUGUGUUGGAUCUUACACCACCGUCUAUGGAGAACACUCCACCAGUUCUGGCUGUCCUAUUAAUCUUGCUUAAAAAACACUGAAUUCACUUAAUUUAAUGUUUUUGUAUAAAUGCAUGUGUACACAACAUUCCAAAUGUUUGAACAAUUGCCAAAGAUAUCCUUUCUUUUUUGUAUUUUAAAAUUGGCCUAUUCAAAAUCCUUAUCCGUCAUUGACCCAUAAAAGCAAAUAAAUGAAAUUCUGCAUCUGCGAAUGUAAUUUCUGCCAUCUGGUCGUUAACAGUUCCUUGUGGAACUAUAGUUAACACCUGUUUUACCAUGGGGUACAAAACAAGAUUACACAUAUGAGUAAUUCAUUAGCAGCUGUCAUUCUAAUGCUGAAAUGAGGGACCUUUUCAGAAAAUAAACCUCAUCCACUGCUCAGAAUCUAUGAGUCAGGAGAAAAUACAGUAAAACGGUCAAAAAGUCAAACAGAAAACUUUCCACAAUUGUGUGGUCUAUUCUGAAGUCAAAGGUUCUGGGACAACAGCUACUUUUUCAAGAAGACAGUGUUUACCACAUCGCACUACCGAGUAACGGGAGGAAAAUUGUUUGUGGGGCUCUCUCAAGGGCAAUGACAGGAUAUAGAUGAGAAAUAUAUUCGAAGUCCUACAGUCACUGAAAUAAAGAGCAUCCUUUCUGCAUCGGUGGCAUGAAUCUAAGUCGGUAAUGAGUAGGAAAAAUGUUUCCUGUGUUCAGUGGGCCGAUCAGUAGACAGAGAAAAGCUGAAAUCCCAGAUAUCCGCCUUCCAGCAGAUGCAGAAUUAUUGUUACUUGGUUUCAUUUUGCAAUGUUUUAUUCUGUGAUUAUAUAAAUAUUGCAGUAAAUCCAAAUUUAAAAUGUAUAGUAUUACAAUUCAAAGGUAAAAAAAAAAACUGGAUACAGUGACUUCAAAACAUUUUGGCUUGCAAUUAUUAAUUAUGGUUUUUUUAGAAUAGCACAAAUUACCAUUUGAAUGACGCAUAUUUUAAUAAUUGGUGAAUGGAAGACCACUAGACAAUAACGUUAAUUCAAUGUUUUAAAUCACGAAAAAACUUGUUAUAUCAGCACCAGUCCUGGGUCUAAACCCGCUACUCCCUCCCCAUUCUCUUUCGCGCAUUGUGUGGCACUGCGAUGACCUCCAGUGAUUCAGCUUCAGAGAGAGACGUGAGGAGGGAGUGUCAGCUUGUGUACAGCGCGCUCGCUUCAAUCAGUGUAAUGAAGAGAAAAAAUAAUGACCGUAUAACCUUCAACAUUCAUCGCCCUGGUAUCAAUUUGUUACCACGGUAACCGGUAAUGCAGAAUACCGGCGUAGCCAAAGUUGAAAGUAGUUCUGUGUUGCUCCUGUGUUGUGUUUGGUUAAUGGCCUCAGUACGGCUUCUUGCAAGAAACUUUAUGGCAAAGCUAUGGUUUUUGUUAGGCCUGGUCCAAAUACUGGGAAAUAAAUAGAUUUAUUUAUGUUUUGAUGUCUCAUCAUUUACAGUAUGCCAACCUCUAGGUAUGAAGAUAUUAUUGUGACUUAGAUGUAGAUAGAUCAGACCACAUUUAAUGACUAAUUAAUGCAGAAAUCCAAGUAAUUCCAAAGGGCUC